CGAGCGCUGGAGCUAGGCACUGAGGUGCGCGCGCAAACACACACACACACACACACACACACACACACACGUGUACACACCCCACGCUGGGGCUGCCGGCGACUCACUACUCAGAAGGGGAGGCAGCUUUGCAGCCACUGGAAGCACGAGGAGGAAUGCAGGGGCCCCACCGUCCCGCGCCGGGGAAGCGUGGAAAACACCAGGCGCAACAGCAGCCCGAGGAGCCGGCCCGACGGAGAAACAGGUCCAGCUCCUGCUGAGAAGCGCCAGGUGGACGCGAACGGCGGCUGUCUGUGCGAAACAGAGCCCAACACUCAACCCACUGGAUAUUUAUCACCUACCAUGCACCUUGAAGAGACUGUGGAGUGGUAGAAGAUUUUAAAAGAGGAAAAAAGAAGAAGGGAGAGAGAAAAAGGAAGAAGAAAGAAAGAGAAGGGACAGGAGGAAGAAAGAGAAGGAAAGGGAACUGAAGCAAAGGGAAGGAAGGAAAGAAGGAAAAGAGAAAAGAAACCAAAGGCACAGAAUUCCAAGUCUAGCUGGAGGUGGGGCUGGG
rnacentral:lncRNA from 10 species